rnacentral:rRNA from 1 species
GGAUGCGAUCAUACAAGCACUAAAGCACCGGAUCCCAUCAGAACUCCGAAGUUAAGCGUGCUUGGGCGAGAGUAGUACUAUGAUGGGUGACCUCCUGGGAAGUCCUCGUGUUGCAUUCC